rnacentral:rRNA from 1 species
AUUGAACGCUGGCGGCAGGCCUAACACAUGCAAGUCGAACGAGUGGCGGACGGGUGAGUAAUGGCUGGGAAACUGCCUGAUGGAGGGGGAUAACUACUGGAAACGGUAGCUAAUACCGCAUACCAUCGGAUGUGCCCAGAUUGGAUUAGCUAGGAGGUGGGGUAAAGGCUAACCUAGGCGACGAUCCCUAGCUGGUCUGAGAGGAUGACCCGCCACACUGGAACUGAGACACGGUCCAGACUCCUACGGGAGGCAGCAGUGGGGAAUAUUGCACAAUGGGCGUAAGUCUGAUGCAGCCAUGCCGCGUGUAUGAAGAAGGCCUUCGGGUCGUAAAGUACUUUCAGCGGGGAGGCGUUACCCGCCGAAGAAGCACCGGCUAACUCCGUGCCAGCCGCCGCGGUAAUAC